UGGCAUUGAGAUUCGAAAAGUUUUGGUUGCAGCAGCUAUAAGCAUCACAGCCUUCAACAUUGACAACAACUCCAUUUAUUUUGAUGGCACACAGGUUUCAAGUGGAGUAAGCCACAACAUCAGUCUCAUCACUGCAUCCUUCCUUGUGCUGAUGUCAUGGAUCCUGUCAAGCCAGCAAUAACAUCAUUGCUGAUUACUGUUUGAAUUUGCAUUAUUGCAUGACUGCCAUCACUGGCAUGAACAAUUAGUUAUUGAUUAUUGUUGAAGAAGUCUUGUACAGCUUCAGAUAAACUUACUAUCACAUUUCAUUUUGCAAUUACUGCACAUAUUUAAGACAGUGGAUUAGGUUUAUGUCAAUCUUAACACGUUUCUGGGUUUCACUUUAUUCCAUAUCAUUACAUUACAUUGCAUAGAAAUAUCAGAGAGCAUAUUGUAAAGGGAACAUGUGUCUAAAGCUAAUUAAAGGAACAACACUGCAGGUCAUCAUGAGUCGUGGAACCAACCGUGAACCAAAUCGUUUUAUCAUCAUGAUAUAUACGGCAUAUAUGUCAAAACAUUGUACUGUCAAUUUGUUUUAUUUAUUCAAGGUGUAUUCAUGUAUUCAUGCAUAGCUGUAUUCUGUGAGAUUUCUAAAUGUUUGUACAAUAUUUGUCAGAAACUUUACAAUGAU